rnacentral:misc_RNA from 1 species
GAGAAGACCAGCAAUUGCUCUCGAACUCGCCGUACACUCUUCGCCGUCUUCUCGAAGGUUAGUUGAUCAAUAUGUCGUGCGGAGAAGUUGCUUGCACUUAUGCUGCCUUGCUCCUCCAUGAUGAGGACAUUCCAAUCACUGCAGAGAAAAUUUCAACUUUAGUUAAAGCAGCUAAUGUGACAGUGGAACCAUACUGGCCUCUCCUGUUUGCUAAGCUUGCUGAGAAGAGAAACCUUGGUGAUCUCAUCAUGAAUGUCGGUGCUGGUGGUGGUGGUGGUGCAGUCGCUGUUGCUGCCCCCACUGGUGGUGCUGCUGGUGGUGCCGCAGCUGCUGCCCCUGCUGCUGAGGAAAAGAAGGAAGAGCCCAAGGAAGAAAGUGAUGAUGAUAUGGGUUUCAGUCUGUUUGAUUAGAAGCUCCUCCCAGUACGAUUUUUGCUUCUUAUUUAAAAAUUUGACGAGACUUUGUUAUAGCACCCUUGUUGAAGAGAUUUUUGAUCUGCUUGUCACAGUUAAAUGUAACCUUGACAUAAUUAUGGUUUAUGAACAUCAGUUAUGUUACUUAUUUCCG